UACAGAGGGGGCAAGCGUUGUUCGGAAUUACUGGGCGUAAAGGGCGCGUAGGCGGCCUUCUAAGUCGAACGUGAAAUCCCCGGGCUCAACCCGGGAACUGCGUCCGAUACUGGAAGGCUUGAAUCCGGGAGAGGGAUGCGGAAUUCCAGGUGUAGCGGUGAAAUGCGUAGAUAUCUGGAGGAACACCGGUGGCGAAGGCGGCAUCCUGGACCGGCAUUGACGCUGAGGCGCGAAAGCCAGGGGAGCAAGCGG
rnacentral:rRNA from 1 species